UAAAGAGGGUGCGAGCGUUAAUCGGAAUUACUGGGCGUAAAGCGUCCGUAGGUGGCCUAUCAAGUCUGCUGUUAAAUCCCAGGGCUCAACUCUGGAUCAGCAGUGGAAACUGAUAAGCUAGAGUGCGGUAGGGGCAGAGGGAAUUCCCGGUGUAGCGGUGAAAUGCGUAGAUAUCGGGAAGAACACCAGUGGCGAAGGCGCUCUGCUGGGCCGUAACUGACACUCAUGGACGAAAGCUAGGGGAGCGAAAGGG
rnacentral:rRNA from 1 species